rnacentral:rRNA from 1 species
AGUGAACGCUGGCGGCAUGCUUUACACAUGCAAGUCGAACGGCAGCGCGGGCUUCGGCUUGGCGUCGAGUGGCGAACGGGCGAGUAAUACAUCGAAACGUGCCCAGCUGCUGUGGAGAGCGCGGCGACAGCCGGAAACAUACCGCAAAAGAGCAGAGGACGAACGCGGGGGAGCUUCGGACCUCGCGCUCUUGCAGGGGCCGAUGGGAGAUUAGCGAGUUGGUGGGGUAAAGGCCUACCCAGGCGACGAUCUGUAGCUGGGCUGCGAGGACGAACCGCCACACUUGGACUGGGACACGGCCCCGACCCCUACGGGAGGCCGCCGUGGGGAAUUUUGGACAAUGGGCGGAAGCCUUGUCCAGCACUGCCGCGGUGGGUGUGAAGGCCUUCGGGUUUUAAAACCCCUUUGGCGGGGACAAAAAGGACUGUGCCAAUACCACGGUUGGAUGACCGUACCCCCAGAAUAAGCCCCGGCUUACUACGUU